rnacentral:rRNA from 1 species
UACGUAGGGGGCAAGCGUUGUCCGGAUUUAUUGGGCGUAAAGAGCGCGUAGGCGGUUCGGUAGGUCCGUUGUGAAAACUCGAGGCUCAACCUCGAGACGCCGAUGGAAACCAUCGAACUAGAGUCCGGAAGAGGAGAGUGGAAUUCCUGGUGUAGCGGUGAAAUGCGCAGAUAUCAGGAAGAACACCCGUGGCUAAGGCGGCUCUCUAGUACGGUACUGACGCUGAGGCGCGAAAGCGUGGGGAGCGAACAGG